ensembl:snoRNA
AUUCUUUUCUGGUUCAUAAGCAUGAUGAUUGUGUGUUCAUACAUCUGUGUGGUGUGGCAUGUCCCUCUCUUAAAUCUUGUUAGGACAUCAGGACAUUACCCGUCUGAUA